rnacentral:rRNA from 1 species
CUAGGGGAGGCAGCAGUGAGGAAUCUUCCGCAAUGGGCGAAAGCCUGACGGAGCGACGCCGCGUGGUGGAUGAAGGCCCUUUCGGGUCGUAAACCUCUUUCAGCAGGGACGAAGCGAAAGUGACGGUACCUACAGAAGAAGCACCGGCUAACUAUGUGCCAGCAGCCGCGGUAAU